UACGAAGGGGGCUAGCGUUGUUCGGAUUUACUGGGCGUAAAGCGCACGUAGGCGGAUCUUUAAGUCAGAGGUGAAAUCCCAAGGCUCAACCUUGGAACUGCCUUUGAUACUGGGGAUCUUGAGUCCGGGAGAGGUGAGUGGAACUGCGAGUGUAGAGGUGAAAUUCGUAGAUAUUCGCAAGAACACCAGUGGCGAAGGCGGUUCUCUGGGACGGUACUGACGCUGAGACGCGAAAGCGUGGGGAGCGAACAGG
rnacentral:rRNA from 1 species